UACGUAGGGCGCAAGCGUUGUCCGGAAUUAUUGGGCGUAAAGAGCUCGUAGGUGGCUUGUCGCGUCUGCCGUGAAAGCCCGUGGCUUAACUACGGGUCUGCGGUGGAUACGGGCAGGCUAGAGGCUGGUAGGGGCAAGCGGAAUUCCUGGUGUAGCGGUGAAAUGCGCAGAUAUCAGGAGGAACACCGGUGGCGAAGGCGGCUUGCUGGGCCAGUUCUGACGCUGAGGAGCGAAAGCGUGGGGGAGCGAACAGG
rnacentral:rRNA from 1 species